UACGAAGGGGGCGAGCGUUGUUCGGAAUUACUGGGCGCAAAGGGCGCGUAGGCGGCCGAGCUAGUCAGAUGUGAAAGUCCUGGGCUUAACCUGGGGACUGCAUUUGAUACUGCUUGGCUUGAAUGCAGGAGAGGAUAGCGGAAUUCCCAGUGUAGAGGUGAAAUUCGUAGAUAUUGGGAAGAACACCGGUGGCGAAGGCGGCUAUCUGGACUGUGAUUGACGCUGAGGCGCGAAAGCGUGGGGAGCAAACAGG
rnacentral:rRNA from 1 species